UGGGGAAUAUUGCACAAUGGGCGAAAGCCUGAUGCAGCGACGCCGCGUGAGGGAUGACGGCCUUCGGGUUGUAAACCUCUUUCAGUAGGGAAGAAGCGAAAGUGACGGUACCUGCAGAAGAAGCGCCGGCUAACUACGUGCCAGCAGCCGCGGUAAUACGUAGGGCGCAAGCGUUAUCCGGAAUUAUUGGGCGUAAAGAGCUCGUAGGCGGUUUGUCGCGUCUGCCGUGAAAGUCCGGGGCUCAACUCCGGAUCUGCGGUGGGUACGGGCAGACUAGAGUGAUGUAGGGGAGACUGGAAUUCCUGGUGUAGCGGUGAAAUGCGCAGAUAUCAGGAGGAACACCGAUGGCGAAGGCAGGUCUCUGGGCAUUAACUGACGCUGAGGAGCGAAAGCAUGGGGAGCGAACAGGAUUAGAUACCCUGGUAGUCCAUGCCGUAAACGUUGGGCACUAGGUGUGGGGGACAUUCCACGUUUUCCGCGCCGUAGCUAACGCU
rnacentral:rRNA from 1 species